rnacentral:rRNA from 1 species
AGCAGAGGUGAACCAGCACGUUGAACGCACCAGUUCCCAAUGAAUCACUAAUGUUAAGCAACGUUGUGCGUGGUUAGUGUCCGGAUGGGUGACCAUCUGGGCAAUCCACGUCCUGCUGUCU